rnacentral:rRNA from 1 species
GAUCAUGGCUCAGGAUGAACGCUAGCGGCAGGCUUAACACAUGCAAGUCGAGGGGCAGCAUAAUGGAUAGCAAUAUCUAUGGUGGCGACCGGCGCACGGGUGCGUAACGCGUAUGCAACCUACCUUUAACAGGGGGAUAACACUGAGAAAUUGGUACUAAUACCCCAUAACAUCAUGAGAGGCAUUCUUUUAUUGGUUAGAAAAAUUCCGUAUGGUUAGAGAUGGGCAUGCGUUG